CCUACGGGUGGCAGCAGUGAGGAAUAUUGGUCAAUGGGCGCUAGCCUGAACCAGCCAAGUAGCGUGAAGGAUGACUGCCCUAUGGGUUGUAAACUCCUUUUAUAUGGGAAUAAAGUGCAGUAUGUAUACUCUUUUGCAUGUACCUUAUGAAUAAGGAUCGGCUAACUCCGUGCCAUCCGCCGCGGUAAUACGGAGGAUCCGAUCGUUACUCGGAUUUAUUGGGUUUAAAGGGAGCGUAGGCGGGGUAUUAAGUCAGUUGUGAAAGUUUGCGGCUCAACCGUAAAAUUGCAGUUGAUACUGGCAUCCUUGAGUACAGUAGAGGUAGGCAGAAUUCGUGGUGUAGCGGUGAAAUGCUUAGAUAUCACGAAGAACUCCGAUUGCGAAGGCAGCCUGCUGGACUGUAACUGACGCUGAUGCUCGAAAGUGUGGGUAUCAAACAGGAUUAGAUACCCUGGUAGUC
rnacentral:rRNA from 1 species